rnacentral:tRNA from 1 species
AUUCUAAUAGCUUAUAUAAGAGCAGGUUAGUGAAGUUAAUCAGGAAAUUAAUUAUUUUAGAAUA